rnacentral:rRNA from 1 species
GUGGGGAAUCUUGCGCAAUGGGCGAAAGCCUGACGCAGCCAUGCCGCGUGAAUGAUGAAGGUCUUAGGAUUGUAAAAUUCUUUCACCGGGGACGAUAAUGACGGUACCCGGAGAAGAAGCUCCGGCUAACUUCGUGCCAGCAGCCGCGGUAAUUCGAAGGGGGCUAGCGUUGCUCGGAAUUACUGGGCGUAAAGGGCGCGUAGGCGGACAGCUUAGUCAGAGGUGAAAGCCCAGGGCUCAACCUUGGAAUUGCCUUUGAUACUGGCUGUCUUGAGUUUGGGAGAGGUGUGUGGAACUCCGAGUGUAGAGGUGAAAUUCGUAGAUAUUCGGAAGAACACCAGUGGCGAAGGCGACUCACUGGCCCAAUACUGACGCUGAGGCGCGAAAGCGUGGGGAGCAAACAGGAUUAGAUACCCGUGUAGUCC